UACGUAGGGGGCAAGCGUUGUCCGGAUUUAUUGGGCGUAAAGAGCGUGUAGGCGGCCAAGCAGGUCCGCUGUGAAAACUCGAGGCUCAACCUCGAGAGGUCGGUGGAAACCGUUUGGCUAGAGUCCGGAAGAGGAGAGUGGAAUUCCCGGUGUAGCGGUGAAAUGCGCAGAUAUCAGGAAGAACACCCGUGGCGAAGGCGGCUCUCUGGGACGGUACUGACGCUGAGACGCGAAAGCGUGGGGAGCGAACAGG
rnacentral:rRNA from 1 species